rnacentral:other from 2 species
UACAAGCUGCGUUGUACGUAAUUUUAAUUAAGUUUUAACCUUUAAGCUGUAAUAGGGAGUUUAACAUCGAGCUGGAAUGUCAUGCCUCAUCAUGUGCUGGAGGAAGACAGGAAGGUUUCUGCAAACACCCACUUUGAGAAGUGGUGGUUUAAAACUUUCUUAUGCGGAUUACGGCAAAUGUGGCUUUCUA